rnacentral:rRNA from 1 species
CGGCGAACGGGUGAGUAACACGUGGGCAACCUGCCCUCAGCUCUGGGAUAACUCCGGGAAACCGGGGCUAAUACCGGAUACGACCUUCCCUCGCAUGGGGGUUGGUGGAAAGUUCUUCGGCUGAGGAUGGGCCCGCGGCCUAUCAGCUUGUUGGUGGGGUGAUGGCCUACCAAGGCGACGACGGGUAGCCGGCCUGAGAGGGCGACCGGCCACACUGGGACUGAAACACGGCCCAGACUCCUACGGGAGGCAGCAGUGGGGAAUAUUGCGCAAUGGGCGGAAGCCUGACGCAGCGACGCCGCGUGAGGGAUGAAGGCCUUCGGGUUGUAAACCUCUUUCAGCAGGGACGAAGCGAGAGUGACGGUACCUGCAGAAGAAGCACCGGCCAACUACGUGCCAGCAGCCGCGGUAAUACGUAGGGUGCAAGCGUUGUCCGGAAUUAUUGGGCGUAAAGAGCUCGUAGGCGGUCUGUCGCGUCGGCUGUGAAAACUCGGGGCUCAACCCCGAGCCUGCAGUCGAUACGGGCAGACUAGAGUGCUGUAGGGGAGACUGGAAUUCCUGGUGUAGCGGUGAAAUGCGCAGAUAUCAGGAGGAACACCGGUGGCGAAGGCGGGUCUCUGGGCAGUAACUGACGCUGAGGAGCGAAAGCGUGGGGAGCGAACAGGAUUAGAUACCCUGGUAGCCCACGCCGUAAACGGUGGGUGCUAGGUGUGAGCGGUAUUCCACGCCGUUCGUGCCGCAGCUAACGCAUUAAGCACCCCGCCUGGGGAGUACGGCCGCAAGGCUAAAACUCAAAGGAAUUGACGGGGGCCCGCACAAGCAGCGGAGCAUGUGGCUUAAUUCGACGCAACGCGAGAACCUUACCAAUGCUUGACA